AUAGAAUCGGUUCGGCUGGAGGAGCCGAAUGUAUGAACUGUGCAGGGAUCAAUGUCGGCAGAAGAGCCGAAUGGAAAAAGUACACAGUAACUGGUCGGCUGAAAGAGCUGAGAACAAAUCAGCCGGGUCCGAAAGCUCUUUUCACUCUUCGGUUCGGCUGGAUGAGCCGAAUAUGUGGGGAAAGUCGGACUCUUCGGUUCGGCUGGAUAAGCCGAAUGAACAAGAGAAGUCGGAAUU
rnacentral:lncRNA from 1 species